rnacentral:rRNA from 1 species
UGAGCGUACGGUGGAUGCCUUGGCGUUAAGUGCCGAAGAAGGACGUGGCAACGCUGCGAAAAGCUUGGGGGAGUCGCUAGCAGGCAUUGAUCCCAAGAUCUCCGAAUGGGGCAACCCAAUAGAAAUAUUACUGCGUAAGCAGAGGGAACCGGGGGAACUGAAACAUCUAAGGUACCCCGAGGAAAAGAAAGUAUCCCCGUAGUAGUGGCGAGCGAAUCGGGGAAAGCCCAAACCAGUAUCGUGUCAAGCCGUCUGGCGUUGCGAUAUUGGGGUUGUAGGACAACUAGCGGAAACAGACGCGACCGCACAUGAGCGAUCACAGGGAAUCAGAAAGUGCUGGGACGCACUGCCAAAGAGCAUGAGAGCUGCGUAUGAAAAUCCGUGUGACCCGUGAGUUGUAUCCUGAGUAGUGCCGGGCACGUGAAACCCGGUAUGAAGCUGGGGAGACCACUCUCCAAGGCUAGCUACACUUAACGACCGAUAGCGAACAAGUACCGUGAGGGAAUGGUGAAAAGAACCCCGGCGAGGGGAGUGAAAAGAACCUGAAACCGUACGCUUACAUGCAGUCGAAGCACUAGGUCAGCAAUGACAGUGUGACGGCGUGCCUUUUGGAGUAUGAUCCGGCGAGUUACCCGAUGUGGUAGGUUAAGUCAGUGAUAGACGGAGCCACAGCGAAAGCGAGUCUGAAUAGGGCGAUAAUCGCAUCGGGUAGGCCCGAAACCGCUUGAGCUAUCCAUGGUCAGGGUGAGGCGUCAGUAAGAUGACGUGGAGGCCCGAACCGGUGUGUGUUACAAAACGCUCGGAUGAACUGUGGAUAGGGGUGAAAUGCCAAUCGAAAGCGGAGAUAGCUGGUUCUCCCCGAAAUGCAUUGAGGUGCAGCCCAGGGGAAGUGAUAUACGAGGUAGAGCACUGUUGUUGUGCGGGGGCUUCACCGCCUACCAAGCGACGGCAAACUCCGAAUGCGUAUAUGACGUACCUGGAGUGAGACAGUUGGCGCAAACGUUGAUUGUCGAGAGGGAAACAACCCAGACCCGCUGCUAAGGUCCCAAAAUUAAUGCUGAGUGGGAAAGGAUGUGUCGUUGCACAGACAGCCAGGAGGUUGGCUUAGAAGCAGCCACCCUUUAAAGAGUGCGUAACAGCUCACUGGUCGAGUGACGAUGCGCCGACAAUCCAACGGGGCUAAAGCAUUAUACCGAAGCACGGGAUAGAGAAAUCUAUGGUAGGGGAGCGUCGUAUACGCAAUGAAGCAUCAGCGGAAGCCAGUGUGGAGUGUAUACGAGUGCGAAUGCCGGAACGAGUAACAGAGAAGGGGAGUGAAAACCUCCCCCGCCGAAAAUCUAAGGGUUCCGCCGCAAGGGUGAUCCGCGGCGGGUUAGUCGGGCCUAAGGGAAACACUAACGUGUUAGCCGAUGGAGAACAGGUAGACAUUCCUGUACUACACACGACUGUUUGACCGACGAGGGAAGCUGAGUGGUAGGUGGAGCGAUCAGACGAGGAUCGUUUAAGCGUGUAAGGAGACUGCGGGUUAAAAUACGUGGUUGUUGACUGAGGCGCGAAUACGAGUGGGGGAGCAAUCCCACCGCGAGUCCACUAAGCCUGUGCAGACGAGAAAUGCCCUCUAGGGAGGAAAUGUGUAUCCGUACCGCAAACCGACACAGGUAGAUAGGCUGAGGAAGCUAAGGCGGACGAGUGAUCCCUGGUUAAGGAACUCGGCAAUUUGACCCCGUACCUUCGGUAGAAGGGGUGCUCUUGGAGGUGAAAGCUGUACAGCUGGAGCGUCCGAGAGUUGCAACAAAGAGGCCCAGGCGACUGGAUAACAGAACCACAGGUCCAUGCUAAAGCCGUAAGGCGAUGUAUAUGGGCUGAUGCCUGCCCAGUGCCGGAAGGUUAAAAGGAGAUGUGCAAGCAUUGAAUUGAAGCCCCGGUGAACGGCGGCAGUAACUAUAACUGUCCUAAGGUAGCGAAAUUCCUUGUCGGGUAAGUUCCGACCCGCACGAAAGGCAUCACGAUCUGGGCAGUGUCUCGACCAGGGGCUCGGUGAAACUGCGAUAGCCGUUAGGACGCGGCUAACUCAUAGCAGGACAAAAAGACCCCGUGGAGCUUUACUACAACUUGUCAUUGUGUGCGGUCUACAGCUGCGUAGCAUAGGUGGGAGCCGAAGAUACGGACCUUGCGGGGUUCGGGGAGGCACUAGUGAAAUACCACUCUGUUGUAGAUUGCGCACUCACAUCUGAAUAGAUGGACCGUGACUGGCGGGUAGUUUGUCUGGGGCGGACGCCUCCCAAAAAGUAACGGAGGCGCGCAAUGGUUCCCUCAGGUGGGAUGGCAAUCCACCGACGAGUGCAAAAGCAAAAGGGAGCUUGACUGCAAGGCAAACAGGCCGCGCAGAGACGAAAGUCGGCUUUAGUGAUCCUACAGCGCUUAGUGGAAGGGCUGUAGCUUAUCGGAUAAAAGCUACCCCGGGGAUAACAGGCUGAUCUUGCCCAAGCGUUCACAGCGACGGCAAGGUUUGGCACCUCGAUGUCGGCUCGUCGCAUCCUGGGGCUGGAGUCGGUCCCAAGGGUUGGGCUGUUCGCCCAUUAAAGCGGCACGCGAGCUGGGUUCAGAACGUCGUGAGACAGUUCGGUCUCUAUCCGCUAUGAGCGUUUAGUACACUGAGGGGAGCUGAUCUUAGUACGAGAGGACCGGAUUGGACAGACCGCUGGUGGAGGAAUUGUGGGGCGUCCCGCAGGUUCCGUAGCUAAGUCUGGACGUAAGAACCGCUGAAAGCAUCUAAGUGGGAAAUACCCCCCAAGAUGAGUGUACUCACUGAAUUUGU